rnacentral:pre_miRNA from 11 species
GCCCGCACGGAGUAACUAUUAUUCCGUGCGGGCAGCUUAACGGCCCGCACGGGAUAAUAGUUACUCCGUGUGGGA